UACGGGGGGGGCAAGCGUUGUUCGGAAUUACUGGGCGUAAAGGGCUCGUAGGCGGCCAACUAAGUCAGACGUGAAAUCCCUCGGCUUAACCGGGGAACUGCGUCUGAUACUGGAUGGCUAGAGUUUGGGAGAGGGAUGCGGAAUUCCAGGUGUAGCGGUGAAAUGCGUAGAUAUCUGGAGGAACACCGGUGGCGAAGGCGGCAUCCUGGACCAACACUGACGCUGAGACGCGAAAAGCGGUGGGGAGCGAACAGG
rnacentral:rRNA from 1 species